rnacentral:rRNA from 1 species
ACACCGGCGGCCCGAGUGGUAACCGAUUUUAUUGGGUUUAAAGGGUCCGUAGCCGGCCUGUUAAGUCUCUUGGGAAAUCUAGCGGCUUAAUCGUUAGACGUCCAAGAGAUACUGACAGGCUUGGGACCGGGAGAGGUGAGAGGUACUCCAUGGGUAGGGGUGAAAUCUUGUAAUCCUUGGGGGACCAUCGAUGGCGAAGGCAUCUCACCAGAACGGGUCCGACGGUGAGGGACGAAAGCUGGGGGCACGAACCGGAUUAGAAACCCCGGUAGUCC